rfam:Myotis brandtii contig192030, whole genome shotgun sequence.
GUGCUGACUUUGGCGCACAUACACUAAAAUUGGAAAAAUAGAGGUUAGCAUGGUCCCUGUGUAAGAAUGACAAGCAAAUUCAUGAAUAGUUCCAUGUUUAA